GCCCUAGUAACGGCGAGUGAAGCGGCAACAGCUCAAAUUUGAAAGCUAGCCUUCGGGUUCGCAUUGUAAUUUGUAGAGGAUGAUUUGGGGAAGCCGCCUGUCUAAGUUCCUUGGAACAGGACGUCAUAGAGGGUGAGAAUCCCGUAUGUGACAGGAAAUGGCACCCUAUGUAAAUCUCCUUCGACGAGUCGAGUUGUUUGGGAAUGCAGCUCUAAAUGGGAGGUAAAUUUCUUCUAAAGCUAAAUAUUGGCGAGAGACCGAUAGCGCACAAGUAGAGUGAUCGAAAGAUGAAAAGCACUUUGGAAAGAGAGUUAAAAAGCACGUGAAAUUGUUGAAAGGGAAGCGCUUGCAAUCAGACUUGUUUAAACUGUUCGGCCGGUCUUCUGACCGGUUUACUCAGUUUGGACAGGCCAGCAUCAGUUUCGGCGGCCGGAUAAAGGCUCUGGGAAUGUGGCCUCCACUUCGGUGGAGGUGUUAUAGCCCAGGGUGUAAUACGGCCAGCCGGGACUGAGGUCCGCGCUUCGGCUAGGAUGCUGGCGUAAUGGUUGUAAGCGACCCGUCUUGAAACACGGACCAAAA
rnacentral:rRNA from 1 species